UACGAAGGGGGCUAGCGUUGUUCGGAAUCACUGGGCGUAAAGCGCGCGUAGGCGGCCAUGUAAGUCAGGGGUGAAAUCCCGGGGCUCAACCCCGGAACUGCCUUUGAAACUACAUGGCUAGAGUCUGUGAGAGGGUGGUGGAAUUCCUAGUGUAGAGGUGAAAUUCGUAGAUAUUAGGAGGAACACCAGUGGCGAAGGCGGCCACCUGGCACAGUACUGACGCUGAGGUGCGAAAGCGUGGGGAGCAAACAGG
rnacentral:misc_RNA from 1 species